AUUGAACGCUGGCGGCAGGCCUAACACAUGCAAGUCGAGCGGAUGAAGGGAGCUUGCUCCUGGAUUUAGCGGCGGACGGGUGAGUAAUGCCUAGGAAUCUGCCUGGUAGUGGGGGAUAACGUCCGGAAACGGGCGCUAAUACCGCAUACGUCCUGAGGGAGAAAGAGGGGGAUCUUCGGACAUCUCGCUAUCAGAUGAGCCUAGGUCGGAUUAGCUAGUUGGUGGGGUAAAGGCCUACUAAGGCGGCGAUCCGUAACUGGUCUGAGUGGAUGAUCAGUCACACUGGAACGUAGACACGGACCAGACGCCUACGAGAGGCCGCAGUGGGGAAUAUUGGACAAUGGGCGGAAACCUUACCCAGCCAGGCCGCGUGUGUUAAGAAGGUCUUCGGAUUGUAAAGCACGUUAAGUUGGUAGAAAGGGCAUUAAGUUAAUACCUUGCUGUUUUGACGUUACCAGCAGAAGAAGCACCGGCUAACUACGUG
rnacentral:rRNA from 1 species